rnacentral:rRNA from 1 species
GGGUAUAUUGAAUAUNUUAUGUGGUUUAAUGUAGUUAGCUUAUUUAUUUUAUUAUUAUUUAAGUUUUAUAGGUGAAAUUUUAAUUUUUAUGUAUUUAUUUAUUGUGAAGCUAUGAAGUUUAUUUUAAAAACGAGGAUWAGAUACCCUUUUAUUUUAAAUGUAAAUUAAUUUGCCUGGGUAGUAAUACGUUAUGCUCUCCAAACCCAAAGAAUUUGGCGGUGUUUUAGUCCUUUCAGAGGAACCUGUCCUGUAAUCGACAGCCCACGAUGUUGCUUACUUGUUUUUGUUUAUCAGUUUGUAUACCUCCGUCAUAAGAGAAUCUUUUUAGAGGUUAAUUCUCUUUAUUUAGAAAAUAAAUAAUGUCAGGUCAAGGUGCAAUUUAUAAAUAAGUAGAGAUGGGUUACAAUAAAUUUUAUUUAUAUGGAUUAGAUUAUUUAAUUUUCUAUGAAGGUGGAUUUGAUAGUAAUUUUGAUUACUAAUUAAAAUGAUUUUGGCUCUAAUACAUGCACACAUCGCCCGUCGCUCUCGUUAAUUAGGAUGAGAUAAGUCGUAACAUAGUAAACGUAUCGGAAGAUGUGUUUAGAAAGG